UCCGAGUUGUCCCCGGCGGUCCCCUUAGAGUCCCCGGCAUUACCCGCUGGCAACUAAGAGCAGGGGUUGCGCUCGUUGCGGCACUUAAGCCAACACCUCACGGCACGAGCUGACGACCUGCGUCAUCCCAUCUUUCGAUUGGGGCAGGACUAUACCUUCACCCGAUGUAUCGACCAUCGGGGCCGGCGUAUUGCACCACUC
rnacentral:misc_RNA from 1 species